CGAACACCGCUCUGCUGAAGCAAGUUCUGCGUGUCAAUUGGUCUGCUGAAGAUAGAGCUACCUCUCAACUUUUAACGGUUACACUGUUCGAUGCAUUAAUGUCUCCUGGCAUUUCUUGUGAAAAUGCUGGCAAAGGUGGAAUACGGAGGAGUCCAAAAAUACAUCAAAAUUCCACAAAUUGAUGAAAACUUUGACUUCCAGAAGUUUCUUCAAGAAGUAACAGACAAAUUUAGUCUGCAGGCCCAACUUGUGACUGAAGGUGUGCUCAGCUUGACUGACACAUCAGAGACUGAGGUUGAUGCCGACACAUUCGAUGAGCUGGUCAAGUCAGGGGUGAGAAACUUCAAGGUUGGAUAUCGCCAGUAUCCAAUAACAGACAUUGCUAUUACUUUGGAUGAAUCAGAUUCAUCUGUAGACCCAUCACCAUCUCCAGCAUCAUUGCCAGACCCUCCAGCAUCACUAGCUUCGACGCCAGACUUCACAGCACAAUCACCGGUUGACCUACCUUUAAGAAAAUCUGUAAUAUCAUAAUACAUGAACAACGUGCUUUCAUAAUAGGCUGUGCUGUUGACACACUGUACUUCGAUGAACAUUUUCAUGCAUACUGUAUAGAAGAGCAAAAUAAUGAACAUAUUGUGAUUUUCAUUGACCAGCUGACGUAUUUUAGACCGUUUGAUAAGCAAUACUCGUGAGAGUGAAAGGACAUACAUUGUGCCUUACUGUUGCAUGUUCUAAUAUUUGUGGUGCAAAUCUGAAAAUAAAUGUUUUUAA